GUUCGAUGUAUGAGUAAAGGCAAAGACUUGUUAGCUUUGUACGAGAAAUAUGUCACGGUUCGAAUGACAUAUGUUACCUUUUUUUACUACCAGCGUUUGUAUUUCGGGUCAAUCUAGUUAAAAGCAGGCUUCAUAUUUAAACCAUAACAUGUUAUCGUCUCGAUAUGCAUGGUAUAUAUGUCACUGGUCAUCAAACAGCAAUACAAACUUUAUUCAUUAUUUAAAUAUGGCUUUCGUUGAAAUCUUGUUUAAAAUCUGGGUUUGUUCCUGAAGUGUUGUAUCUGUCCUUGUUUCUAUCGUUUAGUCUUUUUUCGUGAAAGAUUGAUGGUCCUCUUGGUAUCAUUCUUCAUUUUCAUGAAUACCGACGCAAUUACAGGAGAAAUAGACUGAUAAGAGUUUUGGUGUAUUGAAUAUGUUUGAGUGUUUUCAGUCAAUCAUUGCUUAAGUUGGAAAUUUUGCUAGCCAUAAAAACAGGUUCAAUCCACCAUGUUUUCUUAAAAUGUCAUGUACUAAGUCCGGAAUAUGGUAGGUUUGUUUUCAUGUAUGUUGGCGUUUGGUGUUUGGUUUUGUAUUUUUAUUUAUUUAUUUUUUUUUUUUUUUUUGUAGUUCAGUGUUUCUGUUAUUUCGUUGUUUCCUCUUACAUGUGGUGUUUAUCACCGGUUUUGAUUUGGUAACAGAAUGUUUUUUGCUUUCUCGAUUGAUGACUGUUGAACAGAGCUAUAUUUCUGUUGUCUGUAUUCAUGGUGAUGAGUAUGUCCCCCCCCCCCUUUUUUUCUUUUUACAAUAGUUAUGUUCAGGUUGAAAGUUUAAAAAUGCAACUUUUAUUUUUUUUUUAAUUCAAGAAAAACAGAAUAAAUAACAUGGUGAAUGGAAAAGUAAUACAAAAGGUAUAUACCAAACUCCAAGGCAAAUUAGAACCAACUUGCUAUGUCCUGACUUAGUUAAGACAUUUUUCGAAAAAAAAA
rnacentral:lncRNA from 1 species